GCCACGGUGGUCUUGUGGUUAGAACGCUGGCCUUGUAAUCCUGGGGUCUCGGGUUCGAUUCCCGGCGGUGCCC
rnacentral:tRNA from 1 species